GCGCCUUGAUGGUACUAAUUGAAUAAGUGACAGCUAACUAUGUGCCAGCAGCUGCGGUAAAACAUAGGUCACGAGCAUUAUCCGGAUUUAUUGGGCGUAAAGGAAGCGUAGGUGGGGAGGUUGAUCCAUUGUUAAAGGCAUUUGCUUAACAAAUGUAUGCGAUGGAGAUCGCCUCCCUAGAGUUAAUCAGGGGGUACUGGAAUUCAAUGUGUAGCGGUGGAAUGCGUAGAUAUAUUGAGGAACACCAGAGGCUAAGGCGAGUACCUAGGAUAUAACUGACACUGAGGCUUGAAAGCGUGGGGAGCAAAUGGGAUUAGAUACCCCAGUAGUCCACGCCGUAAACGAUGGGCAUUAGGUAUUUGACAUCUGGUCGAGUGCUGUAGCUAACGCGUUAAAUGCCCCGCCUGGGUAGUAUAUAUGCAAAUAUGAAACUCAAAGAAAUUGACGGGGACCUGAACAAGUGGUGGAGCAUGUUGCUUAAUUCGAUAAUACACGAAAAACCUUACCAAGGCUUGCAAUCUACUGCAAAGCUAUAGAAAUAUAGUGGAGGCAAUCAGUAAGAC
rnacentral:rRNA from 1 species